rnacentral:rRNA from 1 species
UACGAAGGGGGCUAGCGUUGUUCGGAAUCACUGGGCGUAAAGCGCACGUAGGCGGAUUUUAAGUCAGGGGUGAAAUCCCGAGGCUCAACCUCGGAACUGCCUUUGAUACUGGGGAUCUGGAGUCCGGGAGAGGUGAGCGGAACUGCGAGUGUAGAGGUGAAAUUCGUAGAUAUUCGCAAGAACACCAGUGGCGAAGGCGGCUCACUGGCCCGGAACUGACGCUGAGGUGCGAAAGCGUGGGGAGCAAACAGG